UCAACUCCUGAACGAAUGACUCGAUCUGUUUUUGCGUAUUGCACGAAAGCUGAACCGUUUCCGUUAUUGUCUACACAUUUAUUAAACAGACUGUACAUGCCUGUUAUAUUGUACAGUGUAAUAGGCCACAAUGUAACUGCACUUAUUUGGCUUGAAUUUUCUCACCAAAUGGAUUAUCAAAAGCACCACAAUAACCAAAUAGUACAGGAUUUUACAUCAUCAGAGAGAGGUUUAGAAUAAAUCCUUAAAAAAUUGGUACAAAUUACAUAGGAUAUUCAAUCCAUUGACCUGGGAAGAAUCUCUAAAUUUUUAUCAAUCUUUAACCAGAACCCAAUAAUGGGACAAGAGGAGAGAUUCUGACUUCCAAUGGCAAUUCAGACCCAACCAUCAGAUCAAUCACACUAAAUCCUGGAAGUCCUUAAAAGGAUUUCUUCUCUUCCUUAGUCUAUUCUUAGCAUGAUAUCUCUUCUUUAAUCAUCUCUUUCUCCUCCUCUUUCUAGAUUAUAAAUUACAAAUUGGUACAAAUUACAAGGGAUAUUCAAUCUAUUGUAAUUUGUUAACAGUAUAACAUGCCUGUUACAAUGUACAGGCAUAACAUAUGCAUGUUUACCCAACUAUUGCAUACUAAUUGGGACUACAUUAACAAGAUUGUAUCUUAAGAUAACCCAAACAACCCUAUAAAUAACUCAACACGCGUCGCGGUUGUGAUGAGGCUGGUUUAAUAUAUUGAAUGUUUAACUAUUUAACUUCUUCAGCAC
rnacentral:lncRNA from 1 species